UUAGAAAAGAAAAUGUAGGCAUAAGUAACGAUAAUGCGAGCGAGAAACCCGCACACCGAAAGACUAAGGUUUCCACAGCUAUGCUAAUCAGCUGUGGGUUAGUCGGGACCUAAGGCGAACCCGAAAGGGACAGUCGAUGGACAACGGGUUAAUAUUCCCGUACUACUAAUUACUGUGAUGGGGUGACGGAGUGAUGAAAGCGCCGCGAACUGACGGAAUAGUUCGUUGAAGUACCUACCUAUAAGCUGCGCAGGCAAAUCCACGCGGCUUGGGGAAAUACGAUAGUACUCGGAGUCUUCGGACAAAGAGAUAGUGCGCCUAAGGGCUUCCAAGAAAAACCUCUAAACUUCAGGUAAUUAGUAUCCGUACCGCAAACCGACACAGGUAGUCGAGGAGAGAAUCCUAAGGUGCUCGAGAGAUUCAUGGCUAAGGAAUUAGGCAAAAUAGACCCGUAACUUCGGGAGAAGGGUCGCCAGCAGCAAUGCUGGCCGCAGUGAAGAGGUCCAGGCGACUGUUUAUCAAAAAUACAGGGCUCUGCAAAAUCGUAGAUGAAGUAUAGGGCCUGACACCUGCCCGGUGCUGGAAGGUUAAGAGGAGAUGUUAUCUUCGGAGAAGCAUUGAAUUGAAGCCCCAGUAAACGGCGGCCGUAACGAUAACGGUCCUAAGGUAAAAAUUCCUUGUCGGGUAAGUUCCGACCUGCACGAAUGGUGUAACGAUCUGGACACUGUCUCAGCCAUGAGCUCGGUGAAAUUGUAGUAACGGUGAAGAUGCCGUUUACCCGCAGUGGGACGAAAAGACCCUGUGCACCUUUACUAUAGCUUAGUAUUGACUUUGGAUAAAUGAUGUGUAGGAUAGGUUGGAGACUGUGAAGUGGCGUCGCUAGGCGUUGUGGAGUCAUUGUUGAAAUACAACCCUUUGUUUAUCUGAAGCCAAACCCCGGAAUCCGGGGGACAUUGCUUGGUGGGUAGUUUGACUGGGGUGGUCGCCUCCAAAAGAGUAACGGAGGCUUCUAAAGGUUCCCUCAGUACGCUUGGUAACCGUGCGUAGAGUGCAAUGGCAUAAGGGAGCUUGACUGAGAGACAUACAGGUCGAUCAGGUACGAAAGUAGAGCAUAGUGAUCCGGUGGUUCCGCAUGGAAGGGCCAUCGCUCAAAGGAUAAAAGGUACGCCGGGGAUAACAGGCUGAUCUCCCCCAAGAGCUCAUAUCGACGGGGGGGUUUGGCACCUCGAUGUCGGCUCGUCACAUCCUGGGGCUGGAGAAGGUCCCAAGGGUUGGGCUGUUCGCCCAUUAAAGUGGCACGCGAGCUGGGUUCAGAACGUCGUGAGGCAGUUCGGUCUCUAUCUACUGUGGGCGCAAGAAAUUUGAGUGGAUCUGAUUCUAGUACGAGAGGACCGAAUUGGACUAACCUCUGGUGUAUCUGUUGUUCCGCCAGGAGCAUCGCAGAGUAGCUACGUUGGGAAGGGAUAAGCGCUGAAAGCAUAUAAGCGCGAAACCCACCACAAGAUGAGAUUUCUUUUAAGGAUCGUGGGAGAUGACCACGUUGAUAGGCUAUAGAUGUAAAGGCAGUAAUGUCAUAGUCGAGUAGUACUAAUAAUCC
rnacentral:rRNA from 1 species